UCAUGGCACGAAUGCCAUGGAGUAAAGUAGCUGCAGCCAGAAAGGAGGUGAAAUGGGGAAAAGGGUAGUUUAAAAAAAUUAAAUCCUAACAAACCUAUAGUAAAUAUGCCUUUGUUUACACAAACAUCUCAAGAAAUGCAUUGAAAACUGCAGACAUUUGGAAUCAUCCUACUGAGAUUUCCAAACCCAACUCUGAUGUGACGUUUCAGAACAUAAUAUGCUGGUUAUUUCACAACAGCUACAGAACCCGUGGAGGCCAGCAUAUAUUGGGGGCAGGAUUUCUGUAAUGGUUAUGACCACAUGCUGGACUGAAGCUACUGGAGUCAAUGGGAGAUUUGACCAAGGAAGGACAACAGGACUAGUCCGUUAUCUGGUGUGUGCAUACAUACAUAGUCAUCCUUAUCACUGAUACAUUAACUGCACCAUUGUGCAUAUGUCAAAUUUAUUUUACAAAUACUUUUUACUACAUUUCUUUCAUUUAUCAAUUUAUUUUUCACACAAAGAUUGCUUUGCACACUAGCUUCAAUAAGUACGAGGCACCUGAAAAGUUCCAGCUUCUAAACUUCAGCCAUUGUUGAGUGGUCCAUGUACAAAAAAUAAAAUAAAAAUAAUCUUAAUUUUUUAAAAAAGGGAAAAAACGUAUUUUGCCACCAUUACAUGACUCAAAAAUAAGUGAACUUUUUUUUAAAUCACCCCUAGAGAUUGCAGAACAAGUAUGAAAACUUUACGUUCUAUAGUGAAAGGGACACCCUCCGCUUGAAAGAAAAAUAAGUCAAAUCACAUUUCCAUCUGAACAUUUUGCACCAACAAAUGUCACAAGUAACCCCAAAGAUUACUAGAACACAGAGAUAUGCAAAUACUUCCUUUUUAUCUUUUGUUUGCUUACUUUGCUCAUUGGCAGCACUUUGUGUUCCAGUCAGAUUCAUGACAGGGGGGUUGGAUGGGGAGGAGUACUAUCUAAUUGUAGCAACAGAGCUGAAACUAAGGUGACCACCUUUGUUGGAUGGAAAUAAGGGGGGGAAAAAACGUGAAAAGUAAGGGACGCCGCUUUAUUUUAAGGGGCAUUUUAGGGAAACACCAUUUCUCUUAGCAUAGCAUGUAUUUUUCUCUCAAGUGUACAUUUGUACUGCUUCAAGUAUACAAUGCAAUCAUCAUAAACUUCAAUUUAAUGUUUAAAGUUGUCAAGGGCCGUCUCUUAAAAUAAGGGAUGGGUGGUCACCUUGCAGAAAAAGACACAGAAAAAGACACGGUAGCAAAGCAACAGGCAGGCGUGUGCAGGAAGAAGAAGGGGGAAGAGAUGAAAGGCCUUCAGCAUGUUUGUGUAUUGUGGCUCUUACGCCUACCCAAAAACAUUUCUAAACUAUAAAACGGGAAGAAGAAAAAUCCUUAUUGUGACAGAUAAUUGCAAUCCCCUGCAAUAUCUUUGGGGACCAUACUGUAUUAAGUUUAUGGAUCACUGUGGGCUACGGAUUGUAUGCAACUCCAGCGGGGAGGGCUACCACAACGCCUCUAGGAACCAAAACCAGCGUGUGUGUGCAUGGGAGGGGAGGGGAUGAUUAAGGUGAAUCGCUUAGACUGUAAACCCCUCCGUAUGGGAAAGGAAGCUUACAUACACUGGUUCAAACUAGGUUUUCAGAGACCAACACAUACAGAAAGGGCUUUUGGGAUACAAAGGGUACAUUUGCACUGACACAAGACCUUCUUUCUGAUCCAGCAAACGGACAGGACCUUGGAUCCGAGGGGAAGCUCAACCUUGCAAAAGGGUUGGAAAGACUGACACCUACCAGUGCCCUUGUUGGAGUUGGGGGUGACCUCAGAUAAGCAUCUGUGUAGUAGGUUCUUUUUAUUAGCUGUAUGUGUUUUCUCUGUAAUACUUUUACCUCCGGAAUAAAGGUGCUUGCUUAGAAAGAGAGGUGUGGUGACUUACAACUGCUGUCAAGACACCGGUCAUAGCCCCCAGAGUGGAAGCAAAGCCCAGGUGCUGGCUGUUAGGCAGACUGGCUUGCUGGGGAUAUCACAGUGUAAGGCAGAUAGCUGUGCAGCCUUAAAAGCCCUGGUCAGAAGGGAGUGGGACAAGGGUCCCUGCCCAGAAACAGCUGGAGACUGGGAACUCCUGGAGUGGACCACAGAGGGGAAGAUACAGGUGCACCACCCUGAAACUGACACACGCGAUAAUUUUUCUUCUUUUAAA